GACGAACGCUGGCGGCGUGCUUAACACAUGCAAGUCGAACGGAAAGGCCCUGCUUUUGUGGGGUGCUCGAGUGGCGAACGGGUGAGUAACACGUGAGUAACCUGCCCUUGACUUUGGGAAAACUUCAGGAAACUGGGGCUAAUACCGGAUAGGAGCUCCUGCUGCAUGGUGGGGGUUGGAAAGUUUCGGCGGUUGGGGAUGGACUCGCGGCUUAUCAGCUUGUUGGUGGGGUAGUGGCUUACCAAGGCUUUGACGGGUAGCCGGCCUGAGAGGGUGACCGGCCACAUUGGGACGGGGAUACGGCCCAGACUCCUACGGGAGGCAGCAGUGGGGAAAAUUGCACAAUGGGCGGAAGCCUGAUGCAGCAACGCCGCGUGCGGGAUGACGGCCUUCGGGUUGUAAACCGCUUUCGCCUGUGACGAAGCGUGAGUGACGGUAAUGGGUAAAGAGGCACCGGCUAACUACGUG
rnacentral:rRNA from 1 species